rnacentral:rRNA from 1 species
UACGAAGGGUGCGAGCGUUACUCGGAAUUACUGGGCGUAAAGCGUGCGUAGGUGGUCGUUUAAGUCCGUUGUGAAAGCCCUGGGCUCAACCUGGGAACUGCAGUGGAUACUGGGCGACUAGAGUGUGGUAGAGGGUAGCGGAAUUCCUGGUGUAGCAGUGAAAUGCGUAGAGAUCAGGAGGAACAUCCAUGGCGAAGGCAGCUACCUGGACCAACACUGACACUGAGGCACGAAAGCGUGGGGAGCAAACAGG